rnacentral:rRNA from 1 species
UACGGAGGGUGCAAACGUUGCUCGGAAUCAUUGGGCGUAAAGCGCACGUAGGUGGCCUGUUAAGUCGGGUGUGAAAUCCCUGGGCUCAACCCAGGAAGUGCACUCGAAACUGGCAGGCUUGAGUACUGAAGAGGGUCGCGGAAUUCCCGGUGUAGAGGUGAAAUUCGUAGAUAUCGAGAGGAACACCGGUGGCGAAGGCGGCCUUCUGGACAGUGACUGACGCUGAGACGCGAAAGCGUGGGGAGCAAACAGG